UCCCCAGGUACUCGUGAGUCCUUCCCUCCCAGACCCAGGGCACUUGGAAACCCAACCACUGUGAGCUGUGCCCUAUGGCAGCCCUUCACUGCUGUGUCUCCUGCAGGGGAUCUCCUGGCUCCUGCUCUCCAAAUCAACUCAACUUCUGCUCAUCCGGGUACCAGAGUUGUGCUCCAGUGUAUUCUCCCUAUGGUGUCACCUGUAAUACGAUUCAUCUUCUGCAAGGAUGGGAAGGAGCUGUACAGCCAGAAAGCCCAUCAAAGGCAGCUGAGCUACUCCGUGGUCCUGAACAUCCCAUCAAAAAUCACAGGAAUACAUGUAUUUACAUGUGGAUACCAGGCGUUAAAUGAGAAGAAACAUAUGAGGAGCUCUGCCCUCAGUGCUGGCCAAAUCCUGGAUGUCCCUGGCAGAGUGACCGCCUCCACAACAUGGCCAUCAUUGCCAGGUGCAGCUGCUGGCGUGACCACCCAGGACAUCAGCAGCUCCCCAGGCAAUGUGGUGAGUUCCCCAGCAAAUCCAUCAUCCCCAGCCCCAUAUGCCUUGAUCCCGCACGCCCUCCCCAAAACCAUGGCGCUGGCAGUGGCGGCCGUCAGCCUCGUCCUCCUGGCUGCAGGCAGCUGGUUUGCCAUCAGGAAAGGUGCGUGCAGAGGGAGAUGCCCAAGGCAGCAGCACGUUGACAGCCCACAGAUUGAAACCACAGACCAUGAUGAAGUCACAUACUCCACCAUCGCCCAUGUUCGACGAGACAGGGUGAGUCGUGGCACAGCUGUGCACAGCUCCUUUCUGCACUCCUGCAGCCUGGUGCACGCACAUUGUGCAGGGCUCACAGUCACACCUGAAGUAACAGGGUUUCUUUUCUCCCUAAAGCCUCGUCCUGUGCAGCACAUGAGCGACACCACGACGUAUGCCACGGUGAUCUGCACCCAGACCUGAUAGAGCUGCCACAGGGCAAGGGCACAGGAGCCUUGUCCACAGCUGCCUUUGCUCUCCUGUAGAGUUCUUGUGCAGUCAUAUCAUGGGGCUGAGGGUUCCACUUUGGGCUUCUCUGGGGUUUUCUGUCACAGGGAAGGGCUGUGUGUGUCUAGCCAAGAGGAUGAAGGACUCAUAUGUCUUUUAUUAAUAAAUUAAUACCUCUAAAAUAUAUCA
rnacentral:lncRNA from 1 species